rnacentral:lncRNA from 1 species
UUCAUUGAAUUGCGAUAGCGAACCAUGCAAGAACACUUAGCAGUAACAUUCAUAUCUCUCUCUCACUCGUGUUCUUCCUUGUCCAAAGUCUUUGAUAGAUUUGUUCUAAAUGCAUUUCGGUCUGAACUUACCAGUAUUACAUUGUGAAGACCACUUUUACUCUUUUAUUUAAGAGUACAUACAGUUGGGCAUUCCCAUACGUCAUCACCAGGGGCGGUUCUAGGAGGUCGGGAGGGUGUUCUCCCGAACCCCUUUGGCAAAAAAUUAUUCUGUAUAUAGAAGGUAAUGCAAACAGUAGCAGAGAGACCAAUUGUGAAGUCACGUGGCUUUCAGUAGCUAUAUCACUUUAUUAGAGCUAUUAGUAUCGGUUUCAAAACCUCCUGGUAACGUAGAACCGGCUGUGAAGGUCACUGUCAUUAGUAGAGCUGCCACAACUAAAUGUAUUUGAGCUGCCUUCAUAAUAUUUUCGACUAUUCUUUCUUCUCGCCAAGCUCUAUCCUCUUGAUUACCCUCCAACUCCGUCUGUGGUACCACCACCAUCAUCCCUCCUAUCACAGACAGAAUGCGCGAGAAGAAUGCACAUGUCCACCGCGCACAGCGAAUUCUUCGAUCAUUUUUUAGGAAAUU